rnacentral:rRNA from 1 species
UACGUAGGGGGCAAGCGUUGUCCGGAUUUACUGGGCGUAAAGAGCGUGUAGGCGGCCAAGCAGGUCCGUUGUGAAAACUGGAGGCUCAACCUUCAGACGUCGACCCAAACCCCCUGGCUAGAGUCCGGAAGAGGAGAGUGGAAUUCCUGGUGUAGCGGUGAAAUGCGCAGAUAUCAGGAGGAACACCGGUGGCGAAGGCGGCUUGCUGGGCCAGUUCUGACGCUGAGGAGCGAAAGCGUGGGGAGCGAACAGG